CACGAUAUUCUGAUGUGGUAGAAAUUUUCUUUUAGCAUGAUGUGCUUGUUAGGAUAGACAAAGACAUAUCCGCUAAAAACACGACUGUUUGGCAAUAUCGUCCGUCCUCUCGGAUUAUAAAUAUAUUUGGACAUAUCUGCACCGAGUAAAAUUUGGCGAAAUUUUCGUGUCCGCAUAUAUAUAUUUUGCAUGGUAGUUGACUUGUCAAUUGUUUGAAUGCUACC
rnacentral:sRNA from 1 species